rnacentral:rRNA from 1 species
CAGCAGCCACGGUAAUACGAAGGGGGCUAGCGUUGCUCGGAAUGAUUGGGCGUAAAGGGCGCGUAGGCGGCGAUCAAAGUCAGGCGUGAAAUUCCUGGGCUCAACCUGGGGGCUGCGUUUGAUACUUGAUUGCUAGAGUGGGGAAGAGGGUCGUGGAAUUCCCAGUGUAGAGGUGAAAUUCGUAGAUAUUGGGAAGAACACCGGUGGCGAAGGCGGCGACCUGGUCCUUGACUGACGCUGAGGCGCGAAAGCGUGGGGAGCAAACAGGAUUAGAUACCCCGGUAGUCCCUGUCUCUUAUAC